UCAUUUCAUUCGAUCUGCACUCAGUGAUGGUAAAAUAAGUAUUGAAUAUUGUCCAACGGCAGACAUGGCUGCAGAUGUUUUGACUAAACCUGUAACGAAGUUCAAAAAUGAAAGAUUCUUGGGUUACAUGUUUGGAAUAUAAACCGACAUUUGUGAGAUGAAUAACUGUAAGCUAAAUGUGUUGAUAAAGUUAGGUUGAAUACGACUUGUACAGUAUAAGAGCAAGUGGGGGUGUUGGCAUGUGGACUAAUAUGUUGUUGAGUUGUGUUCUUACACUGGUACAGUCAUGCCCUAUGAGAGAUGUAUGACUGCGCAUGUGCGAAAAUAAAUAAAGUGCAUUUUCCCCCGUUCUGGUUAAAACACCAA